rnacentral:rRNA from 1 species
UACGGGGGGGGCAAGCGUUGUUCGGAAUUACUGGGCGUAAAGGGCUCGUAGGCGGCCAACUAAGUCAGACGUGAAAUCCCUCGGCUUAACCGGGGAACUGCGUCUGAUACUGGAUGGCUUGAGUCCGGGAGAGGGAUGCGGAAUUCCUGGUGUAGCGGUGAAAUGCGUAGAUAUCUGGAGGAACACCGGUGGCGAAGGCGGCAGCCUGGACCGGCACUGACGCUGAUGAGCGAAAGCCAGGGGAGCAAACGGG